GAGAGAGGCGGGAAAAGGGCUGAGGUGGGAGGACUUCCUCCUGUUCGCGGCGGGCGCUUUGUCUUACGUUCUCUCACCCCAGUGAGACUGAGCUGUGCGGGCACUUGCUGCUUGUGAAGGGUGGUUUGUUUGUUUUUCAUUUUUAAGGGUAAUGCUGAGUGAUACUUGCUUCUUCCGUUUCAGUGGAUGAGAUUUUGUUCACUGAUGUAGUACAGGGCGGUAUUACAUAUAGCUUUAUGGCCACUCGUAGAAUUCCAGUGAAGUUGCUGUUGUAUACAAUGUAAUACUUGCACAUGCUAUAUUGGUACUUGCAGUGUGUGUGUGCGUGCAGGGAUGAAGAGGCAUUUUUACUUGAAGAAGUGGUAGUAAGAGGAUGAGCGAUGAAAAGCAGGGCUCUCCCUGCAUGAGUCCCCAGGCCUGCCUCACACAGCUGUGGGGCUGACUUGCUCUGUGGGAAAGGCAAACCGGUCUGUGAAGUGGGCACCGUGUCCCUGGAAACUGCUGUGGUGUGCAAACUGACCACUUCAAGGGCUGGAAAAGCUCUUCCAGGUUAAUGGUCCCAGUGACUCUGCUCUGCCUCUUGCAUAAAGGCAAGGCCUUUCUGCUACAGCUUUAGCUGUGGCAUUUUAGUAUAUCCAAGAGAAUCAUCUACGUUUGUGCCAACGUAACAUCGUGUUCCACAUGACUGGAAAUAACGUAUUUGGUACUGGUCUAGAGAAGAGGAGUAACAAGAAGACUUACACCUACAUAUUCUUCUCUCAACUACAUCAGUUGGACUAAUGAGAGAGCAACACCUUCACCAACACUAACUCUCAAAGGAGAACUGAUAGCUCCGUACGGUGUCCCUUAGUGCUGGAACAUGUCUAAACUGGAACGAGUAGAAAGAGGACGGGACUCCGUCUCUGCUCUGACUUGGUGAAGAGAGUGCCACCUGCUGAGCAGAUGAGCCAGUUGUGCAAACACAAGAAAAGAUUGGGUGUGGUGAUGAGACUACUGACCUGGGACUCAUCGGACAAACCCAGCUAUGCAUCAGAUACGCUUCGUAGUCAUGGGUAAGUUGCUUCUCUGGGCACCCUUUUCCGUGCAUCUUGAACUUCCCUGGUGAAAAGUUCUGCACGGCAGCCAGGAACUAUUGUGAAAGAGAUGCCAACUAGUGUCCUCUACAAAAACUGUUCCUGUAUUUUGCUCUAUAAAGUAAUGGGUGGUAAAAGUGAGACUGCCCUGCUGGUCUGAAAAUACGCUAUGCUAGCCUGCACGUGCUGAAUGAUCCCAGCCUGGAGGAAGGUAAACACGGCUAUGUGCACGUUGAGAGGGAAAGGUUUGCCUUUUUCAUGUUGCUUGGCACAUUUCACUGAGUAAGAGUCUAAUCUUUGAACGCUGCCUAAAUGUUAUUCUAUAUUCUGCAAGUUUUCUUGAUUGCUAAUGAACUCAAGUAUCGGUGGCAGUCUACAGGGGGAGCAAUGACGAAGCAGCUGCUUUAUUUCCUGCCUUAAGAGGAGCAGCGUGUCUGCAUUUGCCAGCUCGCUGUUUAUUUUCAGACCAACGCAACAGAGGAAGCCAUAUUCCAGCAGACGAGCUGAACGUUUUUAGAGACCUCAGCGGUAUUGCGGUAAAUGUUCGACUCGGAAAUAAUUUUCAUUUUUUAUUUUUAGUAAAACUAAAUUUCUGGAACGUGCUAAAAAGGCCAACAGCAUAGAUGCGACCUAAGGAUUUGCAUUAGUUACAAGUCCUUUCUUCCUUCCUUGUUUUUCCCCUUUUACGGCUCCUUCUGAAGAAAAAGAAAAUGACCAAAAAAGGGGAAACGGAAUAACGUGUUAUUUCUGCUACAAACGGUUUCUUAAAAACAAAGCCCUUUUAAAGAUUUU
ensembl:lncRNA